rnacentral:misc_RNA from 1 species
AAAGUCGUAACAAGGUUUCCGUAGGUGAACCUGCGGAAGGAUCAUUAACACGUAUCCAACGUUAAACAACCCUGUGAACCUUCAGCUUGCUCGCGUAGUUCGUGAUGGCAGCAAUCCCUAGUAAAUCAUCGUUGAACAGCUUUUGAUUUAGGGACCUCUGUUUGGAUUACGCUCGUAGCGAUGGACGCAAUGCGACCUGGCACCCCCAAGCAGUCAUUGUUCUGAAAGUGUCUUUGAUUGUGUAAGGGUGGCGCUAUCGAUCGUUGGAGGCCGACACGGCCGACGACCGGGUCUCUGGGUCACCAUGCCCCUUAAUAACCCCACUUUGAGACUUCGGGCGCGAUAAUCCGCCGCCGGCAAAAAACUGAACAACUGUUAACAAUGGAUAUCUUGGUUCUC